GAGACGGACGGAAUGCAUGAGGACUGCUAACCCCAUGACCCGCGGUUUGACUCCGUGGCCCUCUCG
rnacentral:tRNA from 1 species